GACAAGACUACGAGAAAAUAUGGUCGCAUUUCCCUAAUGCUGUACUAAAAAUAAUCGAUGGUGCAACGCAUAACGUUCAUAUUGAUCAACCGGAGAAGUGAAUAUAUAUAAUGCAAUUGAAUUUGUCAGACCUUUAAUUGUAAAAAAAUUAAUAUCAUGUAAAAUUUGUAACAAAUGAAUAAAUAAAUCAAUUUCAAACUUA
rnacentral:misc_RNA from 1 species